rnacentral:tRNA from 1 species
GGGGGGUUAGCUCAGUUGGGAGAGCGCCUGAAUGGCAUUCAGGAGGUCAUCGGUUCAACUCCGAUACUCUCCACCA